rnacentral:rRNA from 1 species
UACGUAGGGACCGAGCGUUGUCCGGAAUCAUUGGGCGUAAAGAGCGUGUAGGCGGCCUGUUAAGUCUUGCGUGAAAUCUCGGGGCUCAACCCCGAGCGGUCGUGAGAAACUGGCAGGCUAGAGUGCGGGAGAGGAGAGUGGAAUUCCUGGUGUAGCGGUGAAAUGCGCAGAUAUCAGGAGGAACACCGAUGGCGAAGGCAGGUCUCUGGGCCACUUAACUGAC